rnacentral:rRNA from 1 species
UACAGAGGUCUCAAGCGUUGUUCGGAUUCAUUGGGCGUAAAGGGUGCGUGAGGUGCGGGUAGCGAGGUGUGAAUACUCGAGGCUCACCAUCGAGACGCCGAUGGAAACCAUGUGGCUAGAGUCCGGAAGAGGAGAGUGGAAUUCCUGGUGUAGCGGUGAAUGCGCAGAUAUCAGGAAGAACACCCGUGGCUAAGGCGGCUCUCUAGUACGGUACUGACGCUGAGACGCGAAAGCGUGGGAGCGAACAGG